rnacentral:rRNA from 1 species
GAGUUUGAUCAUGGCUCAGGAUGAACGCUAGCUACAGGCUUAACACAUGCAAGUCGUGGGGAAACGGGUGUUUAUGCUUGCACUUUUUGGAGCUACACCGGCACAGGGGAGAAUAUCGCAUAUCCCAUCUCCCUCUUACUGGGAGAUGCUUGGUAAAACGACAGUCUAAUACGAUAGGCUCUUCUGUGUACCGUCGUCCGAUUUAAUAUAACCUUUUGGCGGUGAUGGAUGGGGAUGCGUCUGAUUAGGAUGUUGGCGGGGUAACGGCCCACCAAUGCUACGAUGGGUAGGGGUUCUGAGAGGAAGGUCCCCCACAUUGGAACUGAGAUACGGUCCAAACUCCUACGGGAGGCAGCAGUGAGGAAUAUUGGUCAAUGGACGAGAGUCUGAACCAGCCAAGUAGCGUGCAGGAUGACGGCCCUUGGGGUUGUAAACUGCUUUUAUCUGGGAAUAAAGUGCAUCACGUGUGGUGUCUUUCCUGGUCCCUAAGGAUAAAGAACGGGUUAUUUCCUGGCAACCACCCCCGUAAUACCGAAAGGCCCGGCGUUAUUCGGAUUUUUUGGGUUUAAAGGGAAUGUAAGGCGGCAGUAUAAGUUGUUUGGAAAUUUAGAGGCUCCAACUCUGUACUGCAGCGCAUACUAGUUUUACUUGAGUACGCACAGGGAUGGCGGAAUUCAGGGUGUAGCGGUGAAAUGCUUAGAUAUCAUGACGAACUCCGAUCGCGAAGGCAGCCAUCGGAGGCGUAACUGACGCUGAGGCUGGAAGGUGCGGGUAUCAAACAGGAUUAGAUACCCUGGUAGUCCGCACGGUAAACGAUGAAUACUCGCAGUUGGGUCUUGAUCUUGGAGUCGUCCAGAAAAAGUGAUAAUUCCUCCACGGGGGGAGUACGCCGACAGCGGAAAAACUAAAAAGAAUUGGGGGGCCCCCGCACAAGAGGAAGAACAUGUGUUAUAAUUUGAUGAUACGCGAACCACAUCCCCGGGGCAAGAACCAUGAGUGCGGAGUGCAGAGAUGGGCUCCUUUUUGGGUCUCUGUGAAGGUGGUGCAUGGUUGUUGUUAGGUUGUGCCGUGAGGGGUUGGGUUAAGUGCCAUAACGAGGGCCACCCCUUUUCUCAGUUGCCCUUGGGGUAAGCCGGGCAAUUCGGUGACAAUGCCACCGGAAGGGGGGAGGAAGGUGGGGAUGACGUCAAAUCAGCACGGCCCUUACGUCCGGGGCUACACACGUGUUACAAUGGUCGAGACAGCGGGAAGGUGCAAGGCAACAGGCAUCUAAUCCCCAAACCCGGUCCCAGUUCGGACUGGGGUCUGCAACCCGACUCCACGAAGCUGGAUUCGCUAGUAAUCGCGCAUCAGCCAUGGCGCGGUGAAUACGUUCCCGGGCCUUGUACACACCGCCCGUC